ACAAAGAAAGAUAACUCCAAUUGAAAAUUAAUUGCUAUUGCACAAUAUUGUGCAAUUAGAUAUUUCUUGCUAUUGUGCAAUACUGUGUAAUUGAAAAUUUCUUGCUAUUGCACAAUACUUGAUAUGGAAUCCUGAUUUGGACCAACUUGAAAACUGGGCCCAUAAUCAAAAAUCAAAGUACAUAUUUAGAUAAAGCCCAAGAAUUUAAUUUUUGUUGAAAUCAAACUUAGUUUAAUUUUGGACCCUUUGGACCUUAAUGUAGACCAAUUUGAAAACUGGACCAAAAAUUAAGAAUC
rnacentral:lncRNA from 1 species